CACAAACCUCAGCUGAGCCACGGCCAGCUCAGGCUGAGAGUGCCCUUGGUGAAGAGAGGAACCUGCGGUUCCCCAAAGCUCCGCUGUGGAGCCACGGCAUCUGCUGGGCUCGCAGGCUGGGUCGGCUGUGAGCUUUGCAGCCCUCAGCGGUCUAGACGCGCCUGAGGCAGCUGGGGACACAGGUCCCCAGCUGUCACUCCGAGGACUUUGCACAUUGUACUGGCUAGUUUUGUGUCAACUUGACACAGCUGGAGUUAUCACAGAGAAAGGAGCCUCCCUUGAGGAAAUGCCUCAGUGAGAUCCAGCUGUAAGGCAUUUUCUCAAUUAGUGAUCAAUGGUGAAAGGCCCCUUGUGCGUGGGACCAUCUCUGGGCUGGUAGUCUUGAGUUCUGUAAGACAGCAGGCUGAGCAAGCCAGGGGAAGCAAGCCAGUAAAG
rnacentral:lncRNA from 1 species